rnacentral:lncRNA from 1 species
CAAAACAAGGAUAAGGAAAAAUACUCAAACUUGAAGCUUCGUCUUCUCAUGAUUUAUUAUUGUUUCCGUCGAAGUCUAUGUCAUCUCAUAAAAGAAAAUAGAAAAAAUAGUGAACCGUAACCAAACAUCAUGACACAUGCCGUAUCAAAAUCACCCAAAUAAGAACAGGAAAUACUAUGGUCGUAUAAAGUAAAAAUCUGAAAAUCGAAUGACAAGGAUGAUGAUCACAUUAAGAAUAUGUAAUCUGGAACUGAAAAAAUCAUAUCCAACAGUAGACUCCACUAGAACCCACUGAGCAACAUAUUACACAAUCAGAAACGAAAGAAAGAUCCAUACGCUAAUUAAAUCACAAAAUAAAUUAUCUUCCCAUCAGAUCGAACCGAGAUCUCUAGCUUAAGCAAUUGACGAUCCUAUCCACAGUAUUCAGGUGUACAUAAGCUCCUAUCCACACUAUCCAUGUGUGCGUAAGCUCUAGUAAAAUGAGAUCCAUCGUUCUACUUGCACAUUUAGCUUAGCUCCAUAAAAUAAAGAUGAGACGAAGCACAACCUUCCUGAAACCACAAAACAGAAAGUACCAAACAGUAAUAAAGCGAAUUGAUAGCCACAAAAAUGUUUGUUGGAAAUUUCUGCAAACAAGUAGGAAAAGCAGUAAAGGUAUUUAAAAUAGAUUAUAAAAAAACUUGUGAUAUAAAGUUAGAAAAAUAAGGAGGAUGAGGGAGAGAGAGAGAAAGCAAGAUUGAACCAUAUCUGGAACUGACGUGUCUCAGAGCUGAAUUCCUACUUUAAUACAACACCUGUGGAUCAACACAGUCCAAAGCAAAGGUCGAAAGUCGAGAAAUAUCAUAUCUUGCACAUAUAUAUAUCAUAAGGAGAAUCAAAUCUUAAUCGGCAGAACAGAGAGAAGGUUCUUCAUAUGAGACAAAUAGGUUGAACAUCCAGUGGCAGACGAAAGUUUACCGGACACUCUGUUUAGAAUUGUCAUAUAAACACAAUCAUGACGAGGGGAGAACAUACUCGUAUUCAAAGCGCUUUCUUCUACAAGGAAUCUUUUUGAGAAAAAAACAAAUCAGCCGAUUACCGAAACCCUGGCAAGAGAAAACACAAUCCAAACGCAAAACCCAUGUUAAUAAACCACUUGUUAAUGCAUACGAAAACCACACCUAAUACCUCGCCGGAUCAAAAUUACCAAAAUAAAACCAAUUCAGAAUCACAAUCAGACGAACGACCCCGAAUCCAUGACGAUCCAAUUGUCAAACCGGCAAAAUAACCCCAAAUAAAAUCAAAUCAGGACCACAAUCAGACGGUAUCGCGAAAGAGAAGAAAAAACACGCGACGGAUAAUCAUUGAAUUGAAUUGCGCAGGUUUCAUAGCGACGAUGAUACAUAUAAUCUAGAAAAACGGAGACGACAAAUAAACAAAAGCAAUAAUCAAACAAAACUCUAAAAUCCGCAGAUAACCAACAAAGACGAGAGACGAAGGAAUGAGUUACGGUUGUAGGAGGGGACGGGUAUUUAUAGAAGAGUCGGUGUUGAGUGGACGGCUGAGAUUAAUCGGAUCAAAGAUACCAAAUGGUUGGACAACCACCGUCAUUUUUGUCGCAAGUUUCUGCAAAUAGAAUUUGAAAUGUAAAAAAUAAUAGAUUAUGGAGGGAUUCAUAAGAAUAUAAAAUUUGGCAUCACUAUCGUACUCACCACCACUCGUUGUUCAACACAACCCAAAUCAUACUAUGUAGCAACCGAACUUCUCAACACAUAACACGACAUUGCCAUACAAGCAAAUUCACGAAAAGGCGGCGAAAAGCCCAAAGCUCGAAACACUUUCCUUUUUCCAGAAAUCCUAUGACCGCGCGGAAAACAAAAUCAAACCAGCCAACAACCAGACCAGGAUGGGAAAAUAUGAACCAAAUCCAAACCACGGGAUAUUAAAUUGCAUAUCACUCCAUCACCAAACAUCAUAAAUACCUUGCCGGAUCAAUUAUCAUUCAUAGAAGACCUUGACAGCACCACAGAGAAAAGAAACAUAUAAGACACGCUCCCGAUAAUUAGACUGUAAGACCAGCAAAACCACCCAAAUCAGAACCACAAACAGAAAGGCACGAAAGAGCUUUAGAUAAAACACAAGUUAGAUUAUAUUCCCCAUUAAGUAUCCAUCACAUCUGUAGCUUUACAUAAGAGACUCUGAAGCUCAUUUUCCAACGGUUUGCAAAGGGUCCAACGAUAUAUGUAAAAUCAGAUUCAACAUUCCUAUAGCACAUGUAGUUUCAGAUAUUAAAAUUGAACUAAGACACUUCCCUUAAGCCACAGAAGAAAGGUACUGACUGGUAGGACAGGUAAAUAAAUUAUCUUUCCGCGUAGUCAAUAGGCCAGAGUAAUGUAGAUGGAACUAGCAAAAACUUUCUUUAAACAGAAGGCCCACCAUCAUUUUUGUAGCAAAUGUCUGUAGACAGAGAGGAAAAGAAGAACAGGGGAUUUGAAGAUUGAUUUGAAAGUAAUAUGACCGUAUAAAGUAGUAAUAUGAAAAUUGAGGGAGCCGUUAGAAAAUACUCUCUCAAAGAAUCUGAGACGCAUCUCACUAAGCCACUACCUGCUGCCGAUCAACACAUUUUGCAACCAGAAGCAAGAAGGUUUUCAUGAGAUAAAUAAAUCAGAAAUUAAAUUAUCUUCCCCGUCAUGUUGUCCGUUAAUCAGACUCAACCUCAGAUCCAACUGCACUAAUCCAUCUUUUGCUGAAGCAAUGGGUUAUCCUGUCCAAAGAUGGAACUUCAGCAGACCCCCUAAAAUACACAAACAAAAGUUACCAAAUGGGAGGACAUCCACCAUCAAUUUUCGAGAGGAAAAGCAAAACCCGGAUAAGGAGAAAAUACUCAAACUUGAAGCUGUUUCUUCUACCAAAAAUCAUAUUUUAACCAUUUCCUUCCAAGUCUAUGCCAUCUCGUAAAAGAAAACCAAACCAACGGACAAGAGAAAUCAUAAUCCAAACCCACACAAUCGAAAAAUAGACAAAAUAGUGGCCGAUAAGGAAACAUCAUACCACAUGCCAUAUCAAAAUCACCCAAAUAGAUUUGAAAACAUAUGGUCAUAUUUCAAAAUUGAAUGAGAAGGAUGAUGAUUACAUAAGAAUAUACAAUCUGGAACUGACAAAAACUCACUGAUCGAUAAGCUAAUUAAAUCACAAAAUAAAUUAUCUUGCCAUCAUCAGAUCCAACCGAGAUCUCUAGCUUAAGCAAUUGGCGAUCCUAUCCACAGUAUUCAGUUGUACUUAAGCUCCUUAUCCAGGUAUACAUACGCUCUAGUAAAAUCAGAUCCUCAUUCUACUUGCACAGUUAGCUUAGCUCCAUAAAUAAACAUGAAACACAACCAACAAAACAGAAAGUACCAAAUAGUAAUAAAGUAGUAAAGCAGUAAAGGGAUUUAAAAGAUACAUUAAAAAAAUUGUGAUAUAAAGUUAUAAAGUUAGAAAAAUAAGGAGAGAGAGAGAGAGAGAGAGAGAGAGAGAGAGAGAGAGAGAGAGAGAUUGAAAUAUCUGGAACUGACGGGAGUUUCAGAGCUGAGUUCCUACUUUAUUACCACAACUGCGGAUCAACACAGUCGAAAGCAACGGUUGAAGGUCAAGAAAUAUCAUAUUGCACAUAUAUAUCAUAAGGAGAAUCAAAGAGAGGUUCUUCAGAUGAGACAAAUAGGUUGAACAUCCAGUAGCAGAUCAAAAUAGCAGUCAAAAGGACGAAACUUUACCGGACACUCUGUUUAGAAUUGUCAUAUAAACACAAUUAAGACAAAAAGGAGAACAUACUCGUAUUCAAAGCGCUUUCUUCUACAAGGAAUCUUGUUCAAACAAGGUUGACAAAAAAUCAAAUCAGCCGAUUACCAAACCCUGGCAAGAUAAAACACAAUCCAAUCGCAUAACGCCUGAUAAUAAACAAUAAUAGACAACUCGUUGAUACCAUACCUAAUACCUCGAAAAUCACCAAAAGAAAACCAAUUCAGAAUCACAAUCAGACGGCCUCGCAAAGAUACGACCCCAAAUCCAUGACGAUACGAUUGUCAAACCGGCAAAAUAACCCCAAAUAAAAUCAAAUCAGGACCACAAUCAGACGGCAUCACAAAAGUGAAGAAAAAAAACACGCGACGGAUAAUCAUUGAAUUGAAUUGCGACGCGACGGAUAAUCAUUGAAUUGAAUUGCGCAGGUUUCUGCAGGAAAAGCAGUAAAGGGAUAUAAAAGAGAUAUUAAAAACAAUUGCAAUCUAAAGUUAGAAAAGUAAGGAGGAUGAGGGAGAGAGAGAGAAAGCAAGAUUGAACAAUUUUUGGAGCUGACGGAUAUCUAAGAGCGGAGUUCCAACUUUAUUACCACACCUGUCGAUCAACAGGUUCCAAAGCAAAGGUCUAGGAAUAUCAUAAGGAGAAUCAAAUCUUAAGGAGCAUCAAAAUCACCACAGAAAAGCACAAUCAAACCCUCUCGCAAAGAGGAGAAAUUGUUAUACCGGCGAAAUCACCCAAAUAAAAUUAAACAGAACCACAAUAAGACAGGAAUCGGAUAAGAGAGAGAAAAAAAAAAAGUAUACAACUGAGAAGUACAAACCUUUUGCAAUUUCAGUUCCAAAAAUUUCAGAAUUUAAAAACUUUGGACACUUAUAUUCCACCGAUGACCAGUUGUGAAUCAGUUAAAAAAAAAAAAAAAAAAAGAGAGAGAGAACGAGAUCUAAGAAAACAAAGAUUACAAGUUAUUAUGAUUCAGAACUUAUUCAACAUUUCAACAUCCAUUUCAUGCAUGACGCAGAGACUAAAUCCCAUUUCUAACGAAAUUUAGAAAAAUGGGAAAAUUUCACAGUUAGAUUUUCUGUGCCAUCCUCCUUUACCCGGGCUUGGGACCGGCUGUGCUGAGCAAAUCUAGCAGGCACAGGUGGAGUUACAAGAAUAUACCUAUAUAUACAACUACCAACACUAAAACGCACACAUAAUCACACAUAGAUAUAAACCGUUCCAGAACAAAUAUUAAAGCUGAGAAAUAGUUUGAUUCAUAUACGAUAGUAGAUUGGAUAAAAGCUUAGUUACUUAUAAAAACUUUUGUACUCAUUUCAAUCAUUCAUUUCCCUUUUCUUUCUUCCAACUAUUGUGGAUAACAUUAGAGAUAAAAGGAAAUACCUCAUGUGAAAAAAAUUACCAAAGUCGUAUCCAAGAGGACAUAAAUUUUAUCAAAUGAGGUAAACUAAUACUCACAUAAUUACAUAUUAAAUUUCACGCACUUGAAAAUUCUCACAUAGUAGAAAUCACGAUGAAGAGCUGACCAAGAACUGUGCAGAAUGGUAAUCCAAAGAAUAUUCAGAAGAUUUUAAACAUCCUCAAAACAGCAGAGCAACAAAUCCAAAGUCUCCUCAUAAGAAUCACAACAUGCGAGCAGAAACAAGGCCCCAACAAUCAACUUCAAAUACUACUUGACAACUGAACAAGGUUUAUCAUUCUGAUAUGCAUAGUGCCAACUUAGCUUGUGUAGAAAAAUUGCCAGGAAGAAAAAACCAAGUCUUCGUAGGAUGCCUAUAACUCAAUGCAUAUAAACCAGAAAGAGAUGUUUAAGGCCACAAUAAAGAAUACUACUCACUUGAUCUGCAGAAGAAGCACGUUCCACACCAACUAAAAAGCACACACAAUUCCAGUGCCAAAUAAAAGAGAAACCGCUAGAAACAAAACUCUGCAUAAACCUUGCGAAGAAACCAAGGAACACCAUACGAAGGCACAUUGGGAGCGUCUUAUUGCUAUUCAUGAUCUCAUAUUUUGUAGUGAAAUUCAUGAGGCAAGUUAAUAUGAUAAAAGUGUAUCCUGGAAUUGAGAAAUUCAUGAUAGGGAUGAUUAACUGAAGACUGCAAAGAAAAAUAAAGAUAAUAAAAAAUCAUAGCUCCGGGAAAGCGAAGCACCGAAAGAUAAAAAGUUAAUAACCAACAAGUAAAAGAAGAGUCUAAAUGCUCGACACAUAGUUGGCAAAAGUUCAAUUAUGAAUAAGCUUUUUAGCCUCUAGUUUAAAGCCCAAUAGAAUAUCAAUGUCAACAUUCGUUUUAGUAGAUUACUUACAAAAGUGAAUUUUCGGACAAAUAGAGACUUCAGAAACUAGUGAACCUAGGAUGGCAUGUUAAUUAAGAAGAAUGCAAGAAACAGAUUUAAAAUGCCACUAUUGAAAAUGAAUUUUAUAUUCCGCAAGUUUAUGAAAAUAUAAAAUAAAAAUCCAAAUUCAAAUCAGUACAUUAUAACUUAUAAUUAUAUAAAUCUGGACAACUAGAAUCCUAAAAAACUCGAGGAAGAACAUAGAAAAUAGAUUAUAGGUAGUAGAAAGAAGUAAAAGAGUCGACGCAGAACAUGCAGCCAAAGCAGAGAUGAGGGAACUUUUUCCUUACUAUCAUGAAUUCUAACCAAUAUAUUAUAAACAGUUACAAUCUACCCGUCAUCAUCCAUAAACUACAAAUUAUAAUUUAUAACCUCUUCAAGAUUAGAAAAUUUUAUAAAUUAAAGAUUAUAGAUUAUAAAUUGCUAAUGUCUAUAUGUAGAAAAAUGAAAAAAAGUUAACUAGGAUUUCUGAGAGAACUAAAAUAAUCUCCAUGUUUUUUUUUUGGCGUAAUAAAGUUCACUAGGAUUUCAUCAGUGCUUUUGGGAGAUUGUGUUUCCUAUUAACUAAUCUUGGCAAGUAAGAAUGAUAUCAAAAUUUGCUUCCAAUGGCCAAAAAAGGGGUUUAGUUAAAGGAAAUAUAUCCAAAAAAGGGUGACGAUAUAAUUAAUAAUUAUUAAUUAAUCAAACCAGUUUAGGCGGAAAUAGGACAGACAAAUCAUAUACUUGCAGCCAAAAAACAGAUUGCCAUCAACAAAAAGUAAUGUAAAUAAGUAGUGUGAUAGAAAGAGCAAUUCAGACCAAUAUUUGUUAUCUUGAAGAAAUUCGUUAACCAAGAAACGUAAACAGGGUCAAUAGCUUACUUUGCUGGUUUCACUGCUUCACAUAAUGUAGAGUCCUUCAAAAAUGUUAACCCAAACCACCAAAUAAUAUAAUAACCACACUUAGGGUGAAAAAUCUUCUUAGAUCAAAGCCAUACAACAUCAACUCGAAUUAGAUCAAAGCACAAGUUCAGUACCAGCUCCAUGUAGGAAAGAUCUCCAAAGAUAAGAACUAUAAAACACAAGCACAACUCGCAAACACAACCCAGAAAUUUCAACGAACAAACUGCCGACAACAGAAAUAACUAAAGAAAUAGAGGAUGUUCAAUCAAACGAGUCUUGGCAAUCCAUUAAGAAGACGUAAGCUGAGAUAAAACCCUUAAAAGGCCUGAAAAUAUAAUACAAAUCGAAUUUCACCUACACCAAAUACGCUGGUUAAUGAAGUGAUGAUGAACGGUCAGAAAAUUCCAACGACAGAGAAUCGAUGGAGAGCAGUUAACAUAUGAUAGGGCCAAUCCCAUCUAGGUUCUCAAAAAAAGGCGAGCAAACCCCAAAACCGGAAGAACAUAGAGAUCAAACAACCAUAGGACUAAACUCAAUGGCAGGGAAGGAGAACAGACUUGUGGAAAUUUUCCAAAAUUCGAAAGCUUUAUCGAAUAUCAAGAAAAUAUCAAGACAAACUGUAUUAUUCUCCACAGCAAAGACAGAUUACCAGGGCCUUAAUGCAUAAUCAUACGUUCCAAUUCAGCCUAUUUUACCACAAAAAAGGAAAGCAAGUCCCAUAACCAGAAAAUACAUCAACUUCCCCAUUAUGUCGUGAUCGAAUCAGUAGCUUUAAGUCAAGACUAUAAACCUCAAAUCCAACUGCAUGCAAAGUUAAGAAAAAAUGAAACAGACGGGGACCGGGUAAACACAGAAGGUAAAAGAAGUCCGAUGAAAUAAAUAAAUCAUCAAUUAAAUCUUCCCCGUAAUGUACCGACCCAAGUAGCUUCCGACAAGAUUCUAAAAACCUCAGACCGAACUGCAAUUUAAAGGACAAAUCAGAUAUAAAAAUCAGGCAACAUCCAUGUAGGAAGGAGGGGUAUUUGAACACAAUAUGGAAAUAGUAGUCCUAUAAAAUAAAUAUAUCACUAAUUAUAUUAUCUUCCACAUUUAGGUAGUGAGAGAUAUUAGGACACAAAAAUUUAUAGUCAAUAAGAAACAACAAAAAUUAGAUCAUCUUCCCCGUUACGUCUCGAUCCCAACAAUAGCUUUAAGUAAGACACUAAACAAAGAACUGCAAGCAAUGGAUAACAAAAUGAAACAUCCAGAUAGGGAGGGUGAAUUAAGUCCCAUCAAAUGCUUCAGACAAAACUUUAAACCUCAAUUCCAACCGCAUCAUAGACAAGAGAGAACAGAACAUCCAGGUGGAAAAGGAUGUAUUAGUACAGAAUAAGGGAGUUUAAGUGCCAUGAAAUAAAUAAAUCAGAAUUUAGGUUAUCUUCCCCAUUACAUAUGAACUCCACCAAUAGCUUUAAGAUAAGAAUCUCAAGUUCAACUGCAUGCAAUCGGCAAGACAAAAUGGAACAUUCAGGUGGGGAGGGGAUAUUAGCACUAAAAUAGGGAAAUUCCCGUGAAAAAAAUCAAUCAUAUGUUAGAUCUUCCCCAUUAUGCCCCACCAAGUAGCUUUAGAUAAAACUGAACCUCUUACAGGCCGCGGCAAAACAAAAAAUCCAGGUGGGGAGGGAGCAUUAGCAUACAAUAAGCGAAUAGCAGUCCUAUGAAAUAAAUAACUCACAAGUUGGAUUAUUUUCCCCGUUAUUUCUCGUUCCCAUAGCUUUAAGAUACGACUCUAAACAUCCAAUCCAACUGUAUUCAACCAGACACAAAAUAAGAGAUUUGGCUGUCUUUUGACUCAAAUAGAUCGGAAAUUAGAUUAUCUUCCCCUUGUGUUUGUGACCUCUGAUCCAAAUGCAUUUACCAGACAGGACAGAAUAAAUCAUCUAAGCCGCGAGGGGGUGAUUAGCACGAAAUAGAACUAUGAAUUUAAAAACAAAAAUUAGUUCCCCAUUUGUUCGAUCCCAUUAGUAGCUUUAAGAUAAGACUCCAAACCCGAGAUCGACUGCAUGAACGAACCAAUGGAACAUCCAGGUGGGGAGGGGGCUUUAGCACACAAGGAAGGAAUAAAAAUGCAAACGAAAUACAUAAAUUAUAUAUUAGAUUAUCUUCCCAAUUUAUGUCUUCAUCCCAUAAUCAUCCAAAUUAUAUAUAACGGACAAACCCUGAGAUCUGAAUCCAACUGCAUUUGAUGGACAAGAAUGAAAAAAAAUUAAGAUGGCUGAGUGGGUGGAGGGAGGAUUGUGUGAGCACACAAUAAUUCAAAAAAUCAAUUAUCUUCUCUAAUAUGCUUCAAUCCAUUCAAUAGCUUUAAGAUAAGACUGUCUAAACCUCAUAUCCAGCCAGCUGCAUUUACUCAGGUCUUUUUCUUACGAGAAAGGUGAUCUGUUCACAUGAUCCAUAAGAGGCUAAAGUCUCGUAAAAUUAGAUUUUCAUCAUUCCAGUAGUUAGCUUUAGAAAAUAAAGAUGAAACUAGCAUGACUUCCUAAAGACCACAAAUCAAAGGUACCAAAUGGUUGGACAACACCGUCAUUUAUGUUUCAAGUUUCUGCAAAUAGAAAGGAAAAACGAAAUAGGAUUUGAAAUGUAAAAAAUAAUAGAUUAUGGAGGGAUUCAAAGAAUAUUAACUUAACAUCACUAUCGUACUCACCACCACUCGUCGAUCAACAGUCAACACAGCCCAAACCAUCUUAUGUAGCAACCGAACUUCUCAAAACAUAACACAAAAUUGUCAUACAACCAAGCAAAUUCACGAAAAGACGGAGAAAUGCUCAAAGCUCGAAACACUUUCCUUUACCCAGAAAUCCUGACCGCGCAGAAUUAAAAAAAAAAAAUCAAACCAGCCAACAACCAGACCAAGAUGGGAAAACAUGAACCAAAUCCAAACCACAUGAUAUUAAAUUGCAUAUCACUCCAUAAGCAAACAUCAUAAAUACCUUGCCAGAUCAAUUAUCAUUCAAAGAAGACCUAGACAGCGCCACAGAGAAAAGAAACAUAUAACAGAGGCUCCCGAUAAUUAGACUGUAAGACCAGCAAAACCACCCAAAUCAGAACCACAAACUGAUAGGCACGAAAGAACUUUAGCUAAAACACAAGUUAGAUUAUCUUCACCAUUAAGUAUCCAUCACAUCUGUAGCUUUACAUAAGAGACUCUGAAGCUCAUUUUCCAACGGUUUGCUUAAGAAAUUGGUGAUCCUGUGCAAAGGGUCCAAGGGAUACAUGUAAAAUCAGAUUCAUCAUUCCUAUAGCACAUGUAGUUUCAGAUAGUAAAAUUGAACUACGACACUUCCCUUAAGCCACAAAAGAAGGGUACUGACUGGUACGCCAGAGUAAUGUCUGCAGACAGAAAGCAAUAUGACCGUAUAAAGUGUAAUAUGAAAAUUGGACGAAAAGGUGAUAGUAGGGAGACAUUAGAAAAUACUCUCUCAAAGAAACUGCCGAUCAACACAUUUUGCAACCAGAAGCCAGAAAUUUUUUAUGAGAUAAAUAAAUCAGAAAUUAAAUUAUCUUCCCCAUCAUGGCGUCCGUUAAUAAACUCAACCUCAGAUCCAACUGCACUAAUCCAUCUUUUGCUGAAGCAAUGGGUUAUCCUGUCCUAAGAUGGAACUACCGCAGACCCCUAAAAUACACAAACAAAAGUUACCAAAUGCGAGGACAUCCACCAUUAAUUUUCGAGAGGAAAAGCAAAGCUGGGAUAAGGAGAAAAUAUUCAAACUUGAAGUUGUUCCUUCUACCAAAAAUCAUAUUUUAACCAUUUCCUUCGAAGUCUAUGCCAUACAUGAAGUAGUACAUUAUCUGACAAACUAAAAGCACAAACAACUCCAGUGCAAAAUAAAAGAGGAACUAAUAGAAAUAGCAUCCAAACGCCUUAGAUGAAGACACAUUUGGGGGCUUAUUGCAAGUCAUUAUCUCAUAUUUUGUAGUGAAGUUCAUGAGGCAAGUGGAUAUGAUAAAACUGUCUCCCGGAACCAAGAAAUUCGUGAUAGGGAUUAACCGAAGACUGUCAAAGAAAAAUAAAGUAAACAAAAAAAAUCACAGCUCCGGAAAAGCGAACCACCCAAAGAUAAAAAGUCAAUAACCAACAAGCAAAAGAAGAGUCAAAAUUCCUAACACAUAAUAGGCAAAAGUUUAGUUAUGAAUAAGAAAUGUCAACACUCGUUUUAGUAGUCAUAUCAAAUUGCAAUUUUACUUGGUAAAGUGAAUUUCGGACAGAUAAUUAUAAUCAAAACUUAUGGAUUGAAACUGGUGGACCUAGGAUGGCAUGUUAAUUAAGAAGAAUGCAAGAAACAUGUUUAAAAUGCACCAUCAAAAAUAAAUUUUAUAUGCAGCAAGUUUAUAAAAAUAUAAAAUAAAAAAUUCAAAUUCGAAUGAGUACAUUAUAAUUUAUAAUUUAUGAAUUAUAUAAAUCUUGAUCAAUAGAAUCCUAAAAAAACUAGAGAAGAACAUAUAAAAUAGGUUAAAUGUAGCAGAAGGAAGCAAAAGACUCCAUGCAGAUCAUGCAGCCUAAGCAGAGAUUAGGGAAUUUUAUCCUUAGUGUAACCAUAUCAUAUAGAAAAUUCUAGCCAAGAUAUUAUAAACAGAUAAUUUCUAGGCAAGAUAUUAUAAACAGAUAAAAUCUAGCCGCAAUCAUCCAUCAAUUAUAAUUUACAAUUUAAAUUAUCCUAUUCAAGAUUAGAAUAUUUAAUAAAUUAAAGAUUCUAGAUUAUUCGAUUACAAAAAGAGAGUAGAGCUAUAUAUGUCAUUAUGAUUACCUUAAUUCCUGCUAAGAAAACUGAGAAACCAGCAUAACACCAUCAACUCAGCAACCAAACUCUACGAGGUACUAGGAAGACGAACCCGAGCAUAGAUAAAUAUGUUUUACUGAACAAUAAAUAUACAGCACAAAAAGCCACAAAAAGAAACCAAAGGACAUGGAGACAAAGUUCAAGAAGCUACACGUAAUUGGAUUUGCCUAUUGUUAAAGUUAUCAAAUGGCAUAAAUAAUUGUUAGUAUAGUAGUUCAAAAUUCAGAUAUGUAAUAUAUUUCGCUAAUGUCUGUGUACAGAAAAAUGAAAAAAGCCAACGAGGAUUUCUGAGAGAAAUAUAUAAUCUCCAUGUUUUUUUCGCAUGAUAAAGUUAACCAGGAUUCAUCGGUGCUUUUGGGGCCUCGUGUAUCCUAUUAACUAAUCUUGGCAAGUACGAAUGAUAUCAAAAUUUUCUUUUAAAGGCCAAAAUAAAAGGUUUGGUCAAGCGAAAUAUGUCCAAAAAAGGGUGAUCUGCUAGCAAUCAAAACAGCACUUUGAUGAUAUAAUUACUAAUUAAUCAAACCAGUUUAGGCAGAAAUAGGACAGACAAAUCAUAAAGUUAAUUAAAAUGCAAACGGUAAGUAAACCUACGUCUGUUUUAAGCAGAGAAUAGAAAUCAAGGACAGAUCAGAAAGCACAAGACAAUGAAACAUCGAUGUAGUGACGAGGUAACAGAAGUCCUCUGAAAUAAAUAAAUCACAAAUUAGUUGUCUUCCCCAUUGUGCCUUUAGACAAGACUUUAACCUCAGAUCCAACUGCAUUUAAUAGACAAGAUAGAAAAAAAGCACAUAAGGUAAUAGAAAUACUAUGAAAUAAACAAAUCACAAAAUGCGCCAACUUCCCCAUUAUGUCGUGAUCCAAUCAGUAGCUAAGACUCUAAACCUCAAAUCCAACUGCAUGCAAAGUUAAGAAAAAAUGAAACAGACGGAGGGUAAAAAAACACAGAAGGUAAAAGAAGUCCUAUGAAAUAAAUAAAUCAUCAAUUAGAUCUACCCCUUUAUGUCCCGACCCAAGUAGCUUCCGAUAAAACUGCAAUUUAAAGGACAAAUCAGAUUACAAAGGUGGUGUUUGCAAAUGAUUAUUAAAAGCAGAAGUUAGUGAUUGUGAGUUAAGUCAGUUUUAAGUGCUUAUUUCUAAAAGUUGGGGGUGUUUUCAAAUAUUCCGGCAAAUGAACUUAAAUAGAAAAAGCUCAAAGAAGAUUAUUUUAAGAGAAGCAAAAGCAAAAUUAGAUUUCGCAAACACCUGAAAACAGAUUAUGAGUAAAAAAAGCUCAUAAUCACUUUCAAAAAGCGUUUACAAACACCACCAAAGUCAGGCAACAUCAAUGUAGGAAGGGGAUAUUAAAACAACAUGUAAAUAGUAGUCCUAUGAAAUAAAUAUAUCACUAAUUAUAUUAUCUUCCCCAUUAUGUCGCGAUCCGUUGCCAGCUUUUCUCACAUCCAACUGCAUUUACCAGACAAUAAAACAUCUAGGCAGUGACACAAAAAGGUGACAGAAUUCCUAGGAAACAAAUAAAUGAAAAUUAGAUCAUCUUCCCCAUUAUGUCUCGAUCCCAACAGGUAAGACACUAAACUCAGAACAACUGCAAGCAAUGGACAAGACAAUGACACAUCAAAGUAGGGAGGGGGAAUUAGCAAACAAGAAGUAAUAGAAGUCCUAAGAAAUAAACAGAUCACAAAUUAGUUAUCUAUCCCAUUAACUCUUUGUCCCAUCAAUGGCUUCAGCAAAACUCUAAACAUCAGAUCCAAUUGCAUUUACCAGGAAUGACGAAAUAAAACAUUUAGGUAGUGACAGAUAUUAGCAAACAAAAAGGUUAGAGUCACUAAGAAACAAAUAAAUAAACAAUUAGAUCACCUUCCACGUUACGUCUCGAUCCCAACAAUAGCUUUAAGGUAAGACACUAAACUCAGAACAACUGCAAUCAAUGGUAAACAGAAUGAAACAUCCAGGUAGGGAGGGUGAACAAAUCAUAAAUUAGUUAUCUUCCUCGUUUUAUCUCUGUCCCAUCAAUGGCUUCAGACAAGACUCUAAACCUCAAACCAAACUGCAUGUCAUAGACAAGGGAGAACAUAAAAUCCAGGUGGAGAGUGGAUGUAUUAGCACAGAACAAGGGAGUAUAAGUGCCCGCGAAAUAAAUAAAUCAAAAAAUUAGAUUAUCUUCCCCAUUAUGUAUGGACUCCACCAGUAGCUUUAAGAUAAGAAUCUAAACCUCAAAUUCAACUGCUGCAUGCAAUGGAACAUUCAGGUGGGGAGGGAGCAUUAGCACUAUAUAAGGGAAUAGCAGUCCUAUGAAGUAAAUAGCUCACAAUUUAGAUUAUCUUCCCCGUAGCUUUAAGAUACAACUCUAAACCUCCAAUCACAGCUGCAUUUAACGGCAAAACAGAACAAAACAUCCAGGUAUGCCCAUUAGCACAAAAUAAGAGAUUGGCUGUCUUAUGACUUAAAUAGAUCCCAAAUUAGAUUAUCUUCCCCUUAUGUUUGUGCCCAUCACAGCUGUUAAGAUAAGACUCCAAACCUCAGAUCCAACUGCAUUUACCAGACAGGAGGACAGAAUAAGAUUAGCACGAAAUAGAACUCUGAAAUUAAAAAAACACAAAUUAGAUCAUCUUCCCCAUUAUGUUCGAUCCCAUUAAUAGCUUUAAGAUAAGACUCCAAACCCGAGAUCCAACUGCAUGCAAUGGACAAACCAAUGGAACAUCCAGGUGGGGAGGGGGCAUUGGCACACAAGAAAGGAAUACAAAUGCAACAAAAUAAAUAAAUCAUAUCUCAGAUUAUCUUCCCAAUUUAUGUCUUCAUCCCACCAGUCAUCCAUAUUGUACAUAACAGACAAACCCUGAGAUGCAUUUGAUGGACAAGAAAGAACCAAAAAAUAAGCUCACAAUAAAUCAAAAAGCUCAUAUCCAAAAGAACCAAAAAAUAAGCUCACAAUUAAUCAAAAAGCUCAUAUCCAACUGCAAGUCUAGUAAAAUUAGAUUUUCAUCAUUCCAGUAGUUAGCUUUAGAAAAUAACUUCCUAAAGACGACAAUCAAAGGUACCAAAUGGUUGGACAACCACCGUCAUUUUUGUUGUAAGUUUCUGCAAAUAGAAAGGAAAAACGAAAUAGGAUUUGAAAUAUAAAAAAGAAUAGACUAUGGAGGGAUUCAUAAGAAUAUAAAACUUGGCAUCACUAUCGUACUCACCAGCACUCGUUGUUCAACACAACCCAAAUCACUAUCGUACUCACCACCACUCGUUGUUCAACACAGCCCAAAUCAUACUAUGUAGCAACCGAACUUCUCAAAACAUAACAAGAAAUUGCCAUAUUCACGAAAAGAUGGAGAAAUGCCCAAAGCUCGAAACACUUUCCUUUUUCCAGAAAUCCUAUGACCGCGCGGAAAACAAAAUCAAACCAGCCAACAACCAGACCAGGAUGGGAAAAUAUGAACCAAAUCCAAACCACGGGAUAUUAAAUUGCAUAUCACUCCAUAACCAAACAUCAUAAAUACCUUGCCCGAUCAAUUAUCAUUCAUAGAAGACCUUGACAGUACCACAGAGAAAAGAAACAUAUACGACACGCUCCCGAUAAUUAGACUGUAAGACCAGCAAAACCACCCAAAUCAGAACCACAAACAGAAAGGCACGAAAGAGCCUUACAUAAAACACAAGUUAUAUUCCCCAUUAAGUAUCCAUCACAUCUGUAGCUUUACAUAAGAGACUCUGAAGCUCAUUUUCCAACGGUUUGCAAAGGGUCCAAGAUAUAUGUAAAAUCAGAUUCAUCAUUCCUAGAGCACAUGUAGUUUCAGAUAUUAAAAUUGAACUACGACACUUCCCUUAAGCCACAGAAGAAAGGUACUGACUGGUAGGACAGCUAAAUAAAUUAUCUUUCCGCUUAAUCAAUAGGCCAGAGUAAUGUAGAUGGAACUAGCAAAACUUUCUUCAAACAGAAGGCCCACCAUCAUUUUUGUAGCAAAUGUCUGCAGACAGAAAGGAAAAGAAGAACAGGGGAUUUGAAGAUUGAUUUGAAAGUAAUAUGACCGUAUAAAGUAGUAAUAUGAAAAUUGAGGGAGCCAUUAGAAAAUACUCUCUCAAAAGUCAAAGAAUCUGAGACGCAUCUCACUAAGCCACAACCUGCUGCCGAUCAACACAUUUUGCAACCAGAAGCAAGAAAUUUUUCAUGAGAUAAAUAAAUCAGAAAUUAAAUUAUCUUCCCCGUCAUGUCGUCCGUUAACAAGACUCAACCUCACAUCCAACUGCACUAAUCCAUCUUUUGCCGAAGCAAUGGGUUAUCCUGUCUACAGAUGGAACUACCGCAGACCCCCUAAAAUACACAAACAAAAGUUACCAUAAAAGGACAUCCACCAUCAAUUUUCGAGAGGAAAAGCAAAGCCGGGAUAAGGAGAAAAUACUCAAACUUGAAGUUGUUUCUUCUACCAAAAAUCAUAUUUUAACCAUUUUCUUCGAAGUCUAUGCCAUCUCAUAAAAGAACCAAUCAACGGACAAGAGAAAACAUAAUCCAAACCCACACAGUCAGAAAAUAGACAAAAUAGUGGCCCAUAAGCAAACAUCAUACCACAUACCGUAUCAAAAUUACCCAAAUAGAUUUGAAAACGUAUGGUUAUAUUUCAAAAUUGAAUGAGAAUGAUAAUGAAUACAUAAGAAUAUACAAUCUCGAACAGACAAAAACCCACUGAUCCAUAAGCUAAUUAAAUCACAAAAUAAAUUAUCUUCCCAUCAUCAGAUCCAACCGAGAUCUCUAGCUCAAGCAAUUGGCGAUCCUAUCCACAGUAUUCAGUUGUACAUAAGCUCCUAUCCACAUUAUCCAGUUGUACAUACGCUCUAGUAAAAUCAGAUCCUCGUUCUACUUGCACAGUUGGCUUAGCUCCAUAACUAAAGAUCAAGCACAACCUUCCUAAAACCACAAAACAGGAAGUACCAAAUAGUAAUAAAGUAGUAAAGCAGUAAGGGAUUUAAAAGAUACAUUAAAAAAUUGUGACAUAAAGUUAGCAAAAUAAGGAAGAUGAUGGGGAGAGAGAGAGAAAGCGAGGUUGAACAAUAUCUGGAACUGACGGUUGUCGAGCCGAGUUCCUACUUUAAUACCACACCUGUGGAUGAACACAGUCCAAGCAAAGGUCGAAGGUCGAGGAAUAUCAUACUGUACAUAUAUAUGAUAAGGAGAAUCAAAUCUUAAUCAGCAGAACAGUGAGAGAAGUUUCUUCAGACGAGACAAAUAGGUUGAACAUCCAGUGGCAGAGAAUCAAAAGGACGAAACUUUACUGGACACUCUGUUUAGAAUUGUCAUAUAAACACAAUUACCACAAAAAGGUAUUCAAAGCGCUUUCUUCUACAAGGAAUCUUGUUCAAACAAGGUUGAGAAAAAAAUCAAAUCAGCCGAUUACCAAACCCUGGCAAGAGAAAACACAAUCCAAACGCAAAACCCAUGAUAAUAAACCACUUGUUAAUGCAUAACCGAAAACCAUACCUAAUACCUCGCCCGAUCAAAAUCACCAAAACAAAACCAAUUCAGAAUCACAAUCAGACGGCCGGGGAAAGAUAUGCCGGCGAAUCCAUAACGAUACGAUUAUCAUACCGGCAAAAUAACCCCAAAUAAAAUCAAAUCAGGAACGGAUAAUCAUUGAAUUGAAUUGCGCAGGUUUCAUAGCGACGAUGAUACGCGACGGAUAAUCUAGAAAAACGGAGACGACAAAUAAACAAAAGCAAUAAUCAAAAACAAAACUCUAAUACUCAGAUAACCAACGAAGACGAGAGACGAAGGAAUGAGUUACGGUUUGUAGGAGGGGACGGGUAUUUAUAGAAGAGUCGG